CGGGACGGGUGAGUAAUGUCUGGGAAACUGCCUGAUGGAGGGGGAUAACUACUGGAACCGGUAGCUAAUACCGCAUAACGUCGCAAGACCAAAGAGGGGGACCUUCGGGCCUCUUGCCAUCGGAUGUGCCCAGAUGGGAUUAGCUAGUAGGUGGGGUAACGGCUCACCUAGGCGACGAUCCCUAGCUGGUCUGAGAGGAUGGCCAGCCACACUGGAACUGAGACACGGUCCAG
rnacentral:rRNA from 1 species